GGGGAGGAAAGUCCGGGCUCCCCAAUGGCCAGGCUUGCUGGGUAACGCCCAGUGCGGGUGACCGUGAGGAGAGUGCCACAGAAACACACCGCCGAUGGCUCCGCUUCCGCUGCGGUGGAGACGAGCACAGGCAAGGGUGCAAAGGUGCGGUAAGAGCGCACCAGCAGCAUCGAGAGGUGCUGGCUCGGUAAACCCCGGCCGGGAGCAAGGCCCAGGGACCAACGGUUGGCCAUGACACCGGUCCCGCCCCAAGUGCGCCGCUCGAGGCCGCCGGAGACGGCGGUCCCAGACAGAUGAUCACCCCGGGCAGGGUCCGCCCCACCCGGAACAGAACCCGGCUUA
rnacentral:RNase_P_RNA from 12 species